rnacentral:misc_RNA from 1 species
CCGAGUGCGGGUCUUUUGGCUCGACCUCCAACCCUUUGUUUGACCAACACUUGUUGCCUCGGGGGGCGGCCCGGACGCCGACGCGUCGGGCACCCCCCGACGGACCCAACCAAUAACUCUGUGUCGAUGCGUCGGAGUACUUUGUGAAAUCAAAUUA